GACGAACUCUGGCGGCGUGCUUAACACAUGCAAGUCGAACGGUAAGGCUCCAGCUUGCUGGGGUACACGAGUGGCGAACGGGUGAGUAACACGUGGGUGACCUGCCCUGCACUUCGGGAUAAGCCUGGGAAACUGGGUCUAAUACCGGAUAGGACUGCACCGUGAGGGUGUGGUGGAAAGUUUUUUCGGUGUGGGAUGGGCCCGCGGCCUAUCAGCUUGUUGGUGGGGUAAUGGCCUACCAAGGCGGCGACGGGUAGCCGGCCUGAGAGGGUGGACGGCCACAUUGGGACUGAGACACGGCCCAGACUCCUACGGGAGGCAGCAGUGGGGAAUAUUGCACAAUGGGCGGAAGCCUGAUGCAGCGACGCCGCGUGGGGGAUGACGGCCUUCGGGUUGUAAACUCCUUUCACCAUCGACGAAGGGUUUCUGACGGUAGAUGGAGAAGAAGCACCGGCUAACUACGUGUCAGCAGCCGCGGUAAUACGUAGGGUGCGAGCGUUGUCCGGAAUUACAGGGCGUAAAGAGCUCGUAGGUGGUUUGUCGCGUCGUCUGUGAAAUUCCGGGGCUUAACUCCGGGCGUGCAGGCGAUACGGGCAUAACUUGAGUACUGUAGGGGAGACUGGAAUUCCUGGUGUAGCGGUGAAAUGCGCAGAUAUCAGGAGGAACACCGGUGGCGAAGGCGGGUCUCUGGGCAGUAACUGACGCUGAGGAGCGAAAGCAUGGGGAGCGAACAGGAUUAGAUACCCUGGUAGUCCAUGCCGUAAACGGUGGGCGCUAGGUGUGGGUUUCCUUCCACGGGAUCCGUGCCGUAGCUAACGCAUUAAGCGCCCCGCCUGGGGAGUACGGCCGCAAGGCUAAAACUCAAAGGAAUUGACGGGGGCCCGCACAAGCGGCGGAGCAUGUGGAUUAAUUCGAUGCAACGCGAAGAACCUUACCUGGGCUUGACAUAUACAGGAUCGCGCCAGAGAUGGUGUUUCCCUUGUGGCUUGUAUACAGGUGGUGCAUGGUUGUCGUCAGCUCGUGUCGUGAGAUGUUGGGUUAAGUCCCGCAACGAGCGCAACCCUUGUCUUAUGUUGCCAGCACGUUGUGGUGGGGACUCGUAAGAAACUGCCGGGGUUAACUCGGAGGAAGGUGGGGAUGACGUCAAAUCAUCAUGCCCCUUAUGUCCAGGGCUUCACACAUGCUACAAUGGUCGGUACAGUGGGUUGCCAGUCCGUGAGGGCGAGCUAAUCCCGCAAAGCCGGUCUCAGUUCGGAUCGGGGUCUGCAACUCGACCCCGUGAAGUCGGAGUCGCUAGUAAUCGCAGAUCAGCAACGCUGCGGUGAAUACGUUCCCGGGCCU
rnacentral:rRNA from 1 species